CGAUGGACAACAGGUUGAUAUUCCUGUACCACCUCUUUAUCGUUUGAGCAAUGGAGGGACGCAGAAGGAUAGAAGAAGCGUGCGAUUGGUUGUGCACGUCCAAGCAGUUAGGCUGAUAAGUAGGCAAAUCCGCUUAUCGCGUAGGCUGAGCUGUGAUGGGGAAGCUCCUUAUGGAGCGAAGUCUUUGAUUCCCCGCUGCCAAGAAAAGCUUCUAGCGAGAUAAAAGGUGCCUGUACCGCAAACCGACACAGGUAGGC
rnacentral:rRNA from 1 species